rnacentral:rRNA from 1 species
ACGCGGGAAAUCUUACCAGGUCCAGACAUAUGGAGGAUUGACAGACAGUUAACCAAAACGCAGCAGCUAGUUUAACAAAACUAACAGCUCUUUCAAGAUUAUGUGGUAGGUGGUGCAUGGCCGUUCUUAGUUCGUGAAGUGAUUCGUUCGCCCAAUCGCAUUUCCAAACAACUAACAACUCAGAAUGCUGGGCAAUAGGACGUUUAAAGUGGCUCCUUACACCUUACAAAGGAAUGGCUGAUGAGAAACAACUCGAUCCGCUCAGCGUUCUAUUGGAAUGCAACGGACGUGAUUGCAAGCUUUUGUUUUGAGUUGCGGUUUUACUGAAAGACUCUACAAUCCGCAAACUUCAAUGAUCUGAAGUAGAAAACCUACAUGCUACAGUGAGAUAUUGUGGAUAAACUUAAGCGACCGCUCCAACAUUGUGUUUUUUUAAAACUGAUGAAGGUUGCGGCA